GGGGAUAACACCUGGAAACAGAUGCUAAUACCGCAUAACAACUUGGACCGCAUGGUCCGAGUUUGAAAGAUGGCUUCGGCUAUCACUUUUGGAUGGUCCCGCGGCGUAUUAGCUAGAUGGUGGGGUAACGGCUCACCAUGGCAAUGAUACGUAGCCGACCUGAGAGGGUAAUCGGCCACAUUGGGACUGAGACACGGCCCAAACUCCUACGGGAGGCAGCAGUAGGGAAUCUUCCACAAUGGACGAAAGUCUGAUGGAGCAACGCCGCGUGAGUGAAGAAGGGUUUCGGCUCGUAAAACUCUGUUGUUAAAGAAGAACAUAUCUGAGAGUAACUGUUCAGGUAUUGACGGUAUUUAACCAGAAAGCCACGGCUAACUACGUGCCAGCAGCCGCGGUAAUACGUAGGUGGCAAGCGUUGUCCGGAUUUAUUGGGCGUAAAGCGAGCGCAGGCGGUUUUUUAAGUCUGAUGUGAAAGCCUUCGGCUCAACCGAAGAAGUGCAUCGGAAACUGGGAAACUUGAGUGCAGAAGAGGACAGUGGAACUCCAUGUGUAGCGGUGAAAUGCGUAGAUAUAUGGAAGAACACCAGUGGCGAAGGCGGCUGUCUGGUCUGUAACUGACGCUGAGGCUCGAAAGUAUGGGUAGCAAACAGGAUUAGAUACCCUGGUAGUCCAUACCGUAAACGAUGAAUGCUAAGUGUUGGAGGGUUUCCGCCCUUCAGUGCUGCAGCUAACGCAUUAAGCAUUCCGCCUGGGGAGUACGGCCGCAAGGCUGAAACUCAAAGGAAUUGACGGGGGCCCGCACAAGCGGUGGAGCAUGUGGUUUAAUUCGAAGCUACGCGAAGAACCUUACCAGGUCUUGACAUACUAUGCAAAUCUAAGAGAUUAGACGUUCCCUUCGGGGACAUGGAUACAGGUGGUGCAUGGUUGUCGUCAGCUCGUGUCGUGAGAUGUUGGGUUAAGUCCCGCAACGAGCGCAACCCUUAUUAUCAGUUGCCAGCAUUAAGUUGGGCACUCUGGUGAGACUGCCGGUGACAAACCGGAGGAAGGUGGGGAUGACGUCAAAUCAUCAUGCCCCUUAUGACCUGGGCUACACACGUGCUACAAUGGAUGGUACAACGAGUUGCGAACUCGCGAGAGUAAGCUAAUCUCUUAAAGCCAUUCUCAGUUCGGAUUGUAGGCUGCAACUCGCCUACAUGAAGUCGGAAUCGCUAGUAAUCGCGGAUC
rnacentral:rRNA from 1 species